AAAUGAAUUGACGGGGACCUACACAAGCGGUGGAUCACGUGGCUUAAUUCGACAGUAAGCGAGGAACCUUACCAGGGCUUGACAAGGUAGUGAAAGCUAUAAGAAAUUAUAGCCCAUCGCAAGAACACUACCCCAGGUGCUGCAUGGUUGUUGUCAGCAGGUGGCUUGAGUUGCUCCCUUAAAUGGGGUAACCUGCGCAACCCUUGCUCUAUGUUUUAUAUGUCAUAGAGGACUGCCCGGGACAACCGGGAGGAAGGUGGGGAUGACACCAAAUCAGCAUGGCCUUUUGAUGCCCUGGGCCGCACACGUGAUACAAUGGAACUGACAAAGGGUCGCCAAGCCGUAAGGCGGAGCUAAUCCCAUCAAACAGUUCCCCAAUUCGGAUUGAGGUCUGAAACCCGACCUCAUGAAGCCGGAAUCGCUAGUAACCGUGGAUCAGCCACGUCACGGUGAAUAUGUCCCUGGGUCUUGUACACACCGCCCGU
rnacentral:rRNA from 1 species